UUUUAGCUUUUAUAUUUAAGGUUAGAAUUAAUAAAUAAGGAUAAACUGUUCAAAUAAGUAUUAAUCACUUACCAUUUAAGUAGAUUUAAGACAAAGUAGUGCAAUUUAAUAGGUCAAACCCCUUAAUCUCCCUUUUCCUACUAUUUUUUUUUUAUGCAAUUUUUGUUUACACAGUAUCUGCAAGCCCCUAUACAUCGUGUAAAACAAGAAAUACCUGUACUCAAGAAGACAGUGAAGGCCAACCAAAACUUGCAAGGUUCUUGAUGAUCCCACUGGCCUAAAUAGCAACAUGUGUCACACCUGCACAUUUCCAGGGCCAUUCCCUCAAGGGUUUCAUCUCCAAUGAUAAUAAUUCCUUGUGCCAAAUUUAUUCUGUUUUCUUAAUUUAUCUCCCUUCAUGAUAAUCCAAAAAGAAAUUCAACAAAUACACACACAUACAUACACAAACCACUUACCCAUACAUAUUUAUAGUGAACAAUUCUUGUCAUGUACACUAACAUAUGUAUAUCUAAUUAAAAUUUUCCAGUUUUUCACACUUUCAGUAGAAAUUACCAAAACAUAAAAAAGGAAGCUAAUUAUAAUAUAAGCACACCGACAGUGGUUUUGCUGCAUAUUCCCCAAAUACACAAAUAUUGAUAUUAUUAUUAUUGCACUGGUGAGUGGGAAUGUGUUCUUCCACCAACUCUGUUGAAAUGCUUAGAGAAAUAAAAUUCUGCUUUAUCCUGUGCAUUACCACCACCACAAUCCCCAAUUAUUACUAUCAUCACACACACACAGACACACCACACCUCAAUGCCCUGCAGAUUGAAACAAGACAACCAUUUCCCUUCUUUAUCUUUGUAUUGCCCGCCUGAUAAAAUUUUACAACCCUUGCCACUCCAUCUCAGUGACGUCUGCCUAUCUUAUCACACCACCAGGUACCUGUGUCACUCACUACAGCCAGCCACUCCCCACGCAACAGUGAUGGGCCUGAUUGUAGGACAGACAAGCUGGCCACCAACAAAACACCAUAGCGCUCCACAACACUCCACUUGACAGACUGGCUUAGAGCAAGUGGCCAGUGGAGGAGGCAUCCUCAAGAUAUACAUUUCAAUAUUAUCCAUGGACAGGGAAAGGGAAAAAGGAGAGAGAGACAUGCAUCUUAAAAGGCAACAUUUAUUCUCCAAGCAAUGGAGUCAUAUGUUUACAGACAACCUCAUGACUAUUUUGGACUGGCAGAGAAGGAUAAUAUUGAAAUACCAUUAGUAUUUUCAUCUGAGGGCAAGGUUAAGUUUUGAUUCACUCAGUCCACUAAUUUCAUUGUUGAUUCUUAUAGUGUGCACAUCACUUUCAAAAACUGCCAUAUUCAGGUCAAAAAUAAACAGUGUCUAGAAAUUAGUGGGUUAAGGUUAUUUCCAUUUAUUUAUUCAAUUAAUUCAUUUCUUUGUUGAUUUCUUCAUUGCAUAGAUCAUAACAAAAAAAUAAAUAAAAGCAUCAUA